UACGUAGGGUGCGAGCGUUGUCCGGAAUUAUUGGGCGUAAAGAGCUUGUAGGCGGUUUGUCGCGUCUGCUGUGAAAAUCCGGGGCUCAACCCCGGACUUGCAGUGGGUACGGGCAGACUAGAGUGUGGUAGGGGAGACUGGAAUUCCUGGUGUAGCGGUGGAAUGCGCAGAUAUCAGGAGGAACACCGAUGGCGAAGGCAGGUCUCUGGGCCACUACUGACGCUGAGGAGCGAAAGCAUGGGGAGCGAACAGG
rnacentral:rRNA from 1 species